rnacentral:snRNA from 1 species
AGCUUUGCAUAGUGGCAGUAUCAUAGCCAAUGAGGUUUAUCUGAGGCGCGAUUAUUGCUAAUUGGAAACUUUUCCCAAUACCCUGUGAUGAUGACUUGAAAUACAAUCGGCAUUGGCAAUUUUUGACAGUCUCUGCAGAGA